CAAGUCAGACACUGAGCCACAAAUCUGUUAAUGUCCCUCUUCAUUCCAUUCCACCAAAAGUGUGCCUUCAAAUCCUUAUACAUCUUGGUUCUACUAGGGUGAACCAUAUAAGGUGAAUAAUGAGCCUCUCUCAAAAUCUCCUCUCGGAUCUCUGAAUCCAUAAGCACACACAAUCGGUCCCUGUACCGCAGUACUCCCGAACUGUCCACAACAAAACCCUCUGACUGUCCCCUCUCUAAUUGCUCUCGAAUCCUCAGCAAGUACGAGUCUCCACUCUAUUUCUCCCGGAUCCUAUCCAACAGAAUGGGCUGCAAGACCAUAGACAUCAGUCUCACAGUAGACCUAAAGGACAUAAUCUCGAGCCUCAACCGCUGCAG
rnacentral:lncRNA from 1 species